ensembl:rRNA 5S_rRNA 5S ribosomal RNA
UUUGUUGGCCAUACCACCCUGAACGCUCCUGAUCUCGUCUGAUCUCGGAAGCUAAGCAGGGUCGGGCCUGGUUAGUACUUGGAUGGGAGCUACAAUCUUUUGCAUGUGGCUUCCAGUGUUCCUGGCGCCAUUUGUA